UAAUGCUGACUUAUUUCAGAGCUCACCCCGUGCUGCAGCGUGCGAGUAGAGGAGGGCGAGCGUGCACAACUGCCCCUCUAUGGGAUGAUUCUCCUUUCCUUCCUCUUUCUACGUCUUUCUUUUUUUUUUCCUUUCUUUUCUCUUUUUUCCCUAUUUAUUUGUUCAUUUCUGGUUGGUGUUUUAAAGCCCCCCUUCAUAUCUCAGGACGGCUCUAUCUCAGGGAGUUGGGGCUGUGCUAUUGUCCACAGCCCGAGUUGCUGUACAAGGAGAAGCUGCAUUGCAUUCAUGUAUUCGUGCACGUUCCGCUCCUCCCAUGAUAUGGGGAUUCACUCCACAGGUGCUGCAUGGAGCAAAUCCCCCAAUUCCAGUCCUGCAGUGCAAGUUCUGGGGGGAUACUCUCCAUAUUUAAGGCUGCUGGUACAGCAAAUGGCAUCUUGGUUUUCCCUUAAUUGUCUGCCCACCCAACCCAUUCUCACUGAAGUCCCAAACCCUUCUCAGCUCUCUGUGUUGCUUUCCAGCUCCCACAUGGUUGGAGGCACUGGCAGGAGGAGCUGUAGCCCACGGCCAGGUGAGGGCAGGUAAGUGCUGGGAGCCUGCAGCACUCACAUCCCAUCCCAUCCCACACCUCAAUGUAAGGCAGCUCACUGCUGUGACACGCAGUGCCCAGUGCUCAGAGCCAUUCUCCCAUUGGAAGCACACAGCACUCUCCCAGGUACGUAUUUCCCCACCUAUCCCAGAUUUCCAGCUGCUCACUGCUCUUUGCGAGCUGCUUGGUGGACACGUGUUGAAAGCUUUGCAGUAGUGUCCUGCCCCUUGUCCAGCUACAACCAGGACUUUGUAUUACUCAAUAUAUAAGUGGAUGAUACAACUGAGCUGGUUUGCUAUUGCUUUUAUAACGUAUUUUAUUCUUUUUUCUCAAGCUGAUUGAAGAGAUGGAAGCAGUGACCCUCCCCAGGUGCAGCCCUUCACAGUGCUGUUGCAGAACCAGGGCUGAAGCACUGCGGGGCUGCUCUGCUGCACCCCGGCAGUUUAAGGACACACAAGAGCUUUGCCCUGCUAAGCUGUGCAUUCAGCUGCUGGCACUGUGAUUCCUGGCCAACAGCUGAUGCACUGCAGCCCCUAAGGGAAGAAGGAAAGACAGUGGAUCAUUCCCCCCACAAGCUGUGGGGGUGCAGUUGCAGGUUGAUAGCACCUGGAAGGCAAAAAACAAAACAAAACAAAACCCAACACAAAA